rnacentral:lncRNA from 1 species
GUCCAGAGAGCGCGUGUGAGCACAGCUGCUGGUCCAGCGAGAUGUGCGUUUCUGCCAGGUUCUAUCAGUCGCUGAGACUUCGUUGCUGGCGACCACUGAGACAUCAUCUCAAAUCCCAGCUGCCUCUGCCUCCCUCGAUUUUUCAAAGCAAUGUUUCCCCAACCAGAUUUACAUUUUCAAAAACCCUUCAGAUCAUCACAAACCCAAGAAACUUCCACUCCUCUGAGGUUUAAUUAGGAGAAACUGUCUUUCUGGUCCUUCCGAGAGCCGGGCUCUCAAUUUCUCAGCAGAAAGGGAAGGUUCUGGUGGAUGAGCGGGGGCGAGGGAACUCGUGAACAGCCUCGCCUGCCUGCAGCGGAGAGAAAGCCGCGCUGAGGUCACUGAAAUCACGUUCCCCCAGGGCACCCCUGAGGCACCCCCGGAGUUCCAGGGAGCACAGUUUGAAAGCACAGUAUUACAGGAGUGCGCGCCAUAAGCAGAAUGAAAAACGCUUUCUAAAAUCUACCUGCCCCCAACCAAACCUGGAUUGGAAGCUUCUUGAGGGCCAGCAGCACCUGGCGCCUGCUGAAAACACAAGUGUCUGUGAAGUGGAUGGAGGAGUGAAGCCUUUGUUUUCAUUUCCGAGGUCUGGCUCAGCUUCUCAGUCCCGGGACGCCCUCGCUGCAGUCCUUCAUGACCCUGUAAGGCAGGCGACAGUCUCCGGCUGCUCCCGGAUGGCGAGUUUGCGCUUUCCUUGCCUUUGUAUCAGAAUGAUUUGUGGCUUCUCAGGUGGAACGGCUGGUGAUAUAAUUAACAUUUCAAAACUUCGCAACCACAAAUUGAAUUUGUUUUGAAUAUUUGGGGAUGUUUAAACAGUAGCUUGAGUGUUAAAUUUGCACUUUAUGGGAG